GAUGGCGACCGGCGCACGGGUGAGUAACACGUAUCCAACCUGCCGAUGACUCGGGGAUAGCCUUUCGAAAGAAAGAUUAAUACCCGAUGGCAUAAUUCUUCCGCAUGGUGGAACUAUUAAAGAAUUUCGGUCAUCGAUGGGGAUGCGUUCCAUUAGGUUGUUGGCGGGGUAACGGCCCACCAAGCCUUCGAUGGAUAGGGGUUCUGAGAGGAAGGUCCCCCACAUUGGAACUGAGACACGGUCCAAACUCCUACGGGAGGCAGCAUG
rnacentral:rRNA from 1 species